CGCAGAACCACCUCUCUCGCGUGCCUCUCCCCGUCAGCGCCGCGUCCGUCCCGCACCUCUCCCUCUCUCUAUCUGAGCCGCCGCCGCCCAAAACACUUCUCUCGCUCUCCGGCGGCGGCUGUACCUCGCGUCCCAGUCGUCUAUCCUCUCCCAUGGCGUGCAGCAACAGCUUGGAGGCGAUCUAGCAGCAGGCGGCAGGCUAGUAGCCAGCGGAGCAACAUAAACAGAGAGCAGGACGCGGUUGCCUGUUCCUGUCGUCAUCGGUGGCCGCCGCGUCGUCCCAACGGAUUGGCGGGUCUUCUUUUCCCGCGGCUUGUUCCUGUCGUCGCUGCUGUUGGUGCGAAGCAGAGCACAAGCAGGACGACAGUGUCUCGCCGCUAUUGGUGCCUGACACCGCUCGGUUUGAGCGAUUUGCCUGACUUCAGAUUGAUUUCCGGGAGCACCUACCUUGAUACUAGUUGAUACAUUUGAAUUGAUUUCCGUCCGCAGCAAUCUUCAUACUACUUGAUACUUCUGAAUUUGACGGCGAGAGCAGCAAUCUUCACCUGGUCGGCGACGGAAGAAAUCAAUUUCCCUUCCACCCUGCUUGAUAUUACUACGUAGUUGAUGCGCUACUGUUGAUGCUCAGUACCAGUACUAGUUGAUGCGUAUUUAAUCACCGUACUAGCACUUGGAGAAAAUAAUUCUUCGUGACCUGUAUCUUAUCCUAUUCCUCUAACCAAACGCUGAGACUACUGAACACUAAGACGGAACCAUUCCGUUCCGAUGGAAUGGAACCAUUCAAUUCUAUUCCACUUGGUUCUACAACUAAACACACUCUUAGUGUAACAAGCGAUUUUUUUUUACAUGCUGUUAUAGGUCAAGAAACAACAAAAUUGAUCAGGAGAAUUAGAUGGGGCAACAGACAUGCAGGUGUGCAUUUCUGCCCAGCAUAGGAUGGCGUACAAGGAGAAUAUGGAGUCACCAAGUGAUCUGUAGUGAAGCUGUUUGGUUUAAUUAUGUAAAUUAGUGAACUAAGUAAUACGCUUGUAAAUAUAUGUAUAUUAAGGUCAUGUUAAUUCCUAGACCAAGAUGGCAGCAUAUGAUGCACCUUUAUUUGUUGAAAUGCUUCUGAUCCAACGAUCUUUUGAUGCUAUGAAUGAUUUUUGGCAAUUUGCUAUCCC
rnacentral:rRNA from 1 species